GCUACUGCCGCAGGCGCCCCACCUGCCGCAGGCGCCCCACCUGCCCCAGGCGCCCCACCAGCUCCAGGGGCCCCACCUCCUCCAGGCGCCCCGCCUGCUCCAGGGGCCCCACCUCCUCCAGGCGCCCCACCUGCUCCAGGGGCCCCGCCUGCUCCAGGCGCCCCACCUGCUCCAGGCGCCGCACCUGAGCAGCCUAAACAGCCUGAAGAGCCUAUACAGACACCUGAAGAACUGGCAUUUUACGCCCCAAAUUACGUGUGUUUGACCGUCCUGGCUGUAAUUCUUUUCCCUCCCUUCGGAUUACUAGCUAUGUACUUCUCUUACCAGACCUCGAAGGCCAACGAGAAGAGCGAGUGGGAAGAGGCUUACAUCAACUCAGGCAGAACUGGUUGGCUGGAUGUGUUUGCCAUACUCAUCGGUUUAGGCAUCAUUUAUUACUUUGUCCUAUGGGUAUGAAGGCCAGCCCCAGUAGUCCACAGGUCCACCCCGCAACAGGACCAACCCACCAAGACACUAACCAGCCAAAUCAGCCACCAUGCAAGAAUCCAACAGCUGAGACAUCCACUAGCCGGGAAACCCACCAGCCGAGGAACUCGACAUCCAACAACCCAAUAGCCCAGGAACAUCAUACUACUUCAUCCUCUUGGCCUCCAGAGCUGUCUUCAUCCACCUUGGAGGUCCUCACUUUCAUGCCACAGAUGCCCUUAACUCCUUGAUACUGGGCUGCUUUUUCAGAAAAAUAUUUAUUUAAACCAAUAAAAUUGAAGGGAAUGCCCCGGCUUUU